CUGACUUUGCAGCUGGACUUUUGACUAAAAGGGCCUGGACACAUCCAAGAACCCUAGCGGGCUCUGGGGCUCAUUUGGGUCUCAGAGGUCUGCUAAUGACCAUGGCCUGGAGGGCUCUACUUCAAAGAAAAAGUCGUGAAGGAACGGCUCCAAAUUCCCAGUGUCAGAGGAGAGUGAAAGAUUGUUGGCUCUUUGUGAGUCUAGUGUUCUCAUCCUUGUAAACAGUAAGCGCUCUGGAGAUGAAUACCAAUGGACAGCAUGUGCCCAUCACAGCUGAAUUGGGAUCCUGCUGACUCACCCUCCUGGCUAAGCUGAAUUCCAGCACCUGUACGCUUUGGUGCCUGGGUGCCCCGAGGAAAGGGGUGGGCCCCAGGCUGGACACAAAAUGAGCUAGCAGCUUCCCUCAAUGUCUUGGGUUUGCUAAGAAAGAUGAGCAUGAUGGGUGACCAGAGACCUGGGAGCAUGACUGUAAGGAAAAGGCUUUCUCAUUAAAAAACUGGAAUGGAAGCAGAAGAGCUCAAAAGGAUGAUCAAACUAAACACAACAUGAUGGCGACAAAUUUUAGAGCUUUGAGGUUUUGUUGGUGAACUCUUGAUUUUCGGUGUAUGAAGAAAUUACUUUGGCUUCUUCCAUUAUACUGAAAUAUCAUCAGGGUCCUGACCCACAGAAGGAGAACUGCUGCUGUAGAAGAUGGUGACCGCAUCGCUCCAGGGUGGUCAGAGCAUUGCCAACACCACAUCCGCCCAUUACUGCAGCAGCAACAUCUGUGUUCCAUGACCCAUCCUAUCGCCAGCUUCAUCACGCUGCCACACCUCGUGGGAAAGGUGGUUGCUUGUCUAUCGGUGGAGCUAUGGCCACUGUGGAACAGCACCUCCUCCCAGAAGCUUCCUUAAAACACCUGUACGGGGUGACAGGCCACCAAAUGUGCUUGUAGCUCCCAGCUUGCUCUUCUCAAAGCCAUGGGAAGCUGUACCAUGACCAUGUCCUCACUUGUCUGCCACCACUAUUAGGUAGACACCCAUUCACCCAUUUAUUCUUGUUGAACAAGUGACUUGCUUAACCUGUAGAUCAAGAAUCUCCUAUUGUACCAAAAGCCAGGUGUAGAAGGACACAUAAGUAAGUGUGCUCAUUGUUUAGAUUAGAACCAGUGGUUUCACCAUGCUACCUGAUAAUAACUUUUAUGUCAUAUGUAAUUUAAUGCAACAUUUUGUUGUGUAAUGAGAAAGAGCUUAGGUAUUAAGACACACAUAUGGUAAGAUUGCCCUAACCAGGCACCUUUGUGCAUAGGUCACCUGAUCCAAUUUCUCGUGUUGGGAAGUUGACCAUGUCAACACCAGCCCAGGAACUUUGAGUAUGUAUUGUGUAAGUAUCGUUAGUUUGUGAUCGCAGCAUACUGGUUAGUUUUCAUCAACAAGAGCCACCGUGGAAGAAGGAAUCUCAGUGGAAAAGUUGCCUCUAUCUGACUGGCUUGUGAGCAUGUCUGUAGAGAAUUUUCUUGAUUAGUGAUUGUUGUUGGAGUCCCCAGUCCACUGGGGGCCCUGGCAUCCCUGGGGAGAUGGUUCUGGUUUGAAUCAUGGUGGGAAAGCCAUGGAGAGCAAGCCAGUAAGCAGCACCCUCUGUGGCUUCUGCUUCAAGCCUUGAGCUCCUGCCAUGGCUCCAUUCUACAAUGGAUGGUAACAUGCAGAAGUAGGCCAAGUAAACUUGCUCACGUUGCUUUUGGUCUCAGUGUGUUAUCAGAGCAACAGAAAAGCAAACGGAAACAGGACUUCUGAGCCAACAAGGCAUAGCUCAUAUAUUCUUCUUUCUAAGGGGUCUUUCGUUUUUCCAGAAAAAUUCAGCUAAUGAGAAUGAUAUAGACAUAAGGAAGACACCACGGUGUCCUAUUGUUCUAUUGUUUAUCAUGUUUGCCCUCGUUUGUAAUUCCCUCGUGUAACAAUAGGUCAAUAGGUACAGUGUUGAAAUGUUUGCGAAGUUUUCACAAGGCUUUUAUUUUAGAUAUGUGCUAGGCAUGGUGACUCAUGAUUGCAAUCCUGUCCCUCAGCAGUCGGUACAGGCCUGUGAGUUUGAGGCCAACCUAAACUAUAUAGUCUAACUUCUCUUUCUUUUCCUCUUUCUGCAUGCACACACACACACAUGCAUGCAGACACACACGUGCACAGAUAUAUAUAAUUAUGUAAUACUGUAGAAAAACUCUUUAAAAACGUGUUUUAACGUGAAUUAAUAGAAUUCUGCUUUUUUUUCUAGGCCAAUACUAUACAAGUUAUGUAGAUUAAUGUGAAAUAGUGACCUAUCAUAACAUGGUAAUAUUUAGUUAACAUAUAAAGAUGAUAGAAGAAAUAUAAUAAAGUUAAUUUCCCGUCAACUUUUCAUACUUUUAUUCUACCACCUUGAACAUUCACAUAGUAUCCUGAACAUUUUUUAGUGCAUUGGUGGUCCAGAGGAUGCUCAGGAGAGAUUUAAAGUACACUCUAAACUUGGUUUAAGUUUUAAAACUGAAAAUGAAAGGACAGUUCUCAGCCAAGUAUUGAUCUUCCAUUUUAAAAAUGAAAAGAAGAGGCAGACAUCUUCAGCUACUUCUCCUAGAACUGGAAUUUAUAACCCAGGAUGACAUGCGCAUCAGGGAUGCUUGUUUAACUCGGUAUCUAAAAUCACUUGUUCUCAGAUAUUACUUACUUGGUACCAGAGGCCUCAGAACUUAAGGGCAUGGCCUCUUAAUUAGCUAGACUGUUAUUGUAGCUGUAUCCAACAGUAGAAACUCGGCAACGGUUGGCUUUUCGUAAGACCACUGACUUCAUUCGGCAAACACUCAUUCCUCUCCCGUGUUCUCGGCUUCCACAGUGCAGCAGCAGCAAGCUCUGCUUAGUCUCUUAGGGCCCCAGCAUCAAAACGAAGGGAAAGAAAACUCCGUAAAGGGUGCUAGCUUCUCGUAUUGCCUGGUAUUGCACAUGUUCUGUCUCUUCACAUUUAUUUCAUGGCUGAAAGCAAGGGGAAAGAUGGCCACACUUUAGUUUAAGAGUGAAGGGGUAUGGAAACUGAAUUCUAUGAUGUGUCCAGAGGAGCAACAGCAAUGUUAGCAAACAGUUCUGAUGACUAACUCACGGUCCUCAGCCAUGUGCUCUUGAGAGCCCCUCACCCCAUAGUGUCCCAAGUUUCUGAUAUGUAUGUGUUGGUGCGUCUGCGUUUAUUUUCAUACAUACAGAGUUACAUCAAUCACAGAAAAUGAGAAUAAUAUUAGUAGAACACAGAGACUGCAAUUAGAAAUGUGAAUACAUUGCUAUAAACAUUUGUAAUAAAGCCCCAUUCUAUCUAACAUUGGGAGAUAAAUCUUAGACUCUGGGGCCUUGCUUCAGCAUGUUGGGAGCAUGAAAAGAAGCAGGUUGAAGUGGAGUCCUAAGAGCCUUAGCACCGGCUAAGCAGACUGCAAUAAUGAGGAAAUGUGAGGUCUCCAGAGCAACCAGAAAGUCUUGAUCCUAGGAAGCAGGAAAUGUGCAUGUAAGAAAGAGUUAGCUGCAUCAGAUAUGGCGGGGCAGUCCAAGCAGCUGAGUGACAAGGGGCCUUUGAAGUAGGCACUGGUGCUGGCGGUGAUGGCCUUUGGCAGUACAUCUGCUAGAAACCUCAGUGUGCCUCAGGUUUAAACUCAUAAUUCUGCACAUCAUCCUCCUGCCUUUUCUAUUUUAACUUUUGACACCCAGCCAACAAAGCUAGAAAGCUGAGAAUAAUUGCAUGUGCCGAAAACACCCACAUCCUUUCAACUUCAUGCAGAUUUCUGUUCCUAAAUAUCUCCAGGAUCGUUCAUUGCUAUCCAUCUUUGCCUCACAGUAUCCAGGCCCUUGCCAACACUUGCCUGACUAUUUAUGAUGUCUACCUGGUCACCUGGCCUCUAGUCUUCUUCUACCAAAUUCAUUUAUGACUGCAUA